CGCAAUAUAGCUUAAACAAAGCAUCUCGCUUACACCGAGGAUAUGUCUGUGAAAAUCAAACUAUUUCGA
rnacentral:tRNA from 1 species